AGCGUACACGGUGGAUGCCCUGGCAGUCAGAGGCGAUGAAGGGCGUGCUAAUCUGCGAUAAGCGCCGGUAAGGUGAUAUGAACCGUUAUAACCGGCGAUACCCGAAUGGGGAAACCCAGUGUGACUCGUCACACUAUCAUUAACUGAAUCCAUAGGUUAAUGAGGCGAACCGGGGGAACUGAAACAUCUAAGUACCCCGAGGAAAAGAAAUCAACCGAGAUUCCCCCAGUAGCGGCGAGCGAACGGGGAGGAGCCCAGAGCCUGAAUCAGCAUGUGUGUUAGUGGAAGCGUCUGGAAAGGCGCGCGAUACAGGGUGACAGCCCCGUACACAAAAGCGCAUGUGCUGUGAGCUCGAUGAGUAGGGCGGGACACGUGGUAUCCUGUCUGAAUACGGGGGGACCAUCCUCCAAGGCUAAAUACUCCUGACUGACCGAUAGUGAACCAGUACCGUGAGGGAAAGGCGAAAAGAACCCCGGCGAGGGGAGUGAAAAAGAACCUGAAACCGUGUACGUACAAGCAGUGGGAGCACCCUUGGGGUGUGACUGCGUACCUUUUGUAUAAUGGGUCAGCGACUUAUAUUCUGUAGCAAGGUUAACCGUAUAGGGGAGCCGUAGGGAAACCGAGUCUUAAUUGGGCGUUAAGUUGCAGGGUAUAGACCCGAAACCCGGUGAUCUAGCCAUGGGCAGGUUGAAGGUUGGGUAACACUAACUGGAGGACCGAACCGACUAAUGUUGAAAAAUUAGCGGAUGACCUGUGGCUGGGGGUGAAAGGCCAAUCAAACCGGGAGAUAGCUGGUUCUCCCCGAAAGCUAUUUAGGUAGCGCCUCGUGAACUCAUCUCCGGGGGUAGAGCACUGUUUCGGCUAGGGGGCCAUCCCGGCUUACCAACCCGAUGCAAACUGCGAAUACCGGAGAAUGUUAUCACGGGAGACACACGGCGGGUGCUAACGUCCGUCGUGAAGAGGGAAACAACCCAGACCGCCAGCUAAGGUCCCAAAGUCAUGGUUAAGUGGGAAACGAUGUGGGAAGGCCCAGACAGCCAGGAUGUUGGCUUAGAAGCAGCCAUCAUUUAAAGAAAGCGUAAUAGCUCACUGGUCGAGUCGGCCUGCGCGGAAGAUGUAACGGGGCUAAACCAUGCACCGAAGCUGCGGCAGCGACACUGUGUGUUGUUGGGUAGGGGAGCGUUCUGUAAGCCUGUGAAGGUGGCCUGUGAGGGUUGCUGGAGGUAUCAGAAGUGCGAAUGCUGACAUAAGUAACGAUAAAGCGGGUGAAAAGCCCGCUCGCCGGAAGACCAAGGGUUCCUGUCCAACGUUAAUCGGGGCAGGGUGAGUCGACCCCUAAGGCGAGGCCGAAAGGCGUAGUCGAUGGGAAACGGGUUAAUAUUCCCGUACUUGGUGUUACUGCGAAGGGGGGACGGAGAAGGCUAUGUUGGCCGGGCGACGGUUGUCCCGGUUUAAGCGUGUAGGUGUGUGUUCCAGGUAAAUCCGGUUCACUUUAACACUGAGGCGUGACGACGAGGCACUACGGUGCUGAAGCAACAAAUGCCCUGCUUCCAGGAAAAGCCUCUAAGCAUCAGGUAACAUCAAAUCGUACCCCAAACCGACACAGGUGGUCAGGUAGAGAAUACCAAGGCGCUUGAGAGAACUCGGGUGAAGGAACUAGGCAAAAUGGUGCCGUAACUUCGGGAGAAGGCACGCUGACAUGUAGGUGAAGUGAUUUACUCACGGAGCUGAAGUCAGUCGAAGAUACCAGCUGGCUGCAACUGUUUAUUAAAAACACAGCACUGUGCAAACACGAAAGUGGACGUAUACGGUGUGACGCCUGCCCGGUGCCGGAAGGUUAAUUGAUGGGGUCAGCGCAAGCGAAGCUCCUGAUCGAAGCCCCGGUAAACGGCGGCCGUAACUAUAACGGUCCUAAGGUAGCGAAAUUCCUUGUCGGGUAAGUUCCGACCUGCACGAAUGGCGUAAUGAUGGCCAGGCUGUCUCCACCCGAGACUCAGUGAAAUUGAACUCGCUGUGAAGAUGCAGUGUACCCGCGGCAAGACGGAAAGACCCCGUGAACCUUUACUAUAGCUUGACACUGAACAUUGAGCCUUGAUGUGUAGGAUAGGUGGGAGGCUUUGAAGUGUGGACGCCAGUCUGCAUGGAGCCGACCUUGAAAUACCACCCUUUAAUGUUUGAUGUUCUAACGUGGACCCGUAAUCCGGGUUGCGGACAGUGUCUGGUGGGUAGUUUGACUGGGGCGGUCUCCUCCUAAAGAGUAACGGAGGAGCACGAAGGUUGGCUAAUCCUGGUCGGACAUCAGGAGGUUAGUGCAAUGGCAUAAGCCAGCUUGACUGCGAGCGUGACGGCGCGAGCAGGUGCGAAAGCAGGUCAUAGUGAUCCGGUGGUUCUGAAUGGAAGGGCCAUCGCUCAACGGAUAAAAGGUACUCCGGGGAUAACAGGCUGAUACCGCCCAAGAGUUCAUAUCGACGGCGGUGUUUGGCACCUCGAUGUCGGCUCAUCACAUCCUGGGGCUGAAGUAGGUCCCAAGGGUAUGGCUGUUCGCCAUUUAAAGUGGUACGCGAGCUGGGUUUAGAACGUCGUGAGACAGUUCGGUCCCUAUCUGCCGUGGGCGCUGGAGAACUGAGGGGGGCUGCUCCUAGUACGAGAGGACCGGAGUGGACGCAUCACUGGUGUUCGGGUUGUCAUGCCAAUGGCACUGCCCGGUAGCUAAAUGCGGAAGAGAUAAGUGCUGAAAGCAUCUAAGCACGAAACUUGCCCCGAGAUGAGUUCU
rnacentral:rRNA from 1 species